AAGGAUAGACGCGUGGCGGCGUGCUUAACACAUGACAAGUCGAACGGUAGUUUUUAAGUGGUAAGUUUCGGAUGGAAAGUUUAAAAACUUAGUGGCGGACGGGUGAGUAACGCGUGGGUAACCUGCCUCAUACGAGGGGGAUAACAGUUAAGAAAUGACUGCUAAGACCGCAUAAUAUAGCGAAACCGCAUGAUUUUUGCUAUCAAAUAUUUAUAGGUAUGAGAUGGGCCCGCGUCUGAUUAGCUAGUUGGUGGGGUAAAAGCCUACCAAGGCGACGAUCAGUAGCCGGCUUGAGAGAGUGACCGGCCACAUUGGGACUGAGACACGGCCCAAACUCCUACGGGAGGCAGCAGUGGGGAAUAUUGGACAAUGGGGGAAACCCUGAUCCAGCGAACCGCCGCGUGAGUGAAGAAGUAUUUCGGUAUGUAAAGCUCUAUCAGCAGGGAAGAUAAUGACAGUACCUGACUAAGAAGCCCCGGCUAACUACGUGCCAGCCGCUGC
rnacentral:rRNA from 1 species